GGCCCGCCCUGCCAGAGUCCCAGGACCGAAAGUGAAGGCGCGCGCUCGGCCUCUCGGCGCUCGCUUGCUUGGGUCUGACCGGGCUGGCUAAAGCCGGGCAGCGGGACUCCGGGCGCUAGCCGGGCCCGGCGCGCGGGGCGGCAUGGAGGGGCCGCCGGCCGCCGCCGGCGGGGAGGUCUCCUUGCACAACUUCAGCGCGAGGCUGUGGGAGCAGCUCGUCCACUUCCAUGUCAUGCGGCUGACGGACUCGCUGUUCCUGUGGGUGGGAGCCACGCCGCACCUGCGCAACCUCGCCGUGGCCAUGUGCAACCGCUACGAUUCCAUCCCUGUGUCUACCUCCCUCCUCGGAGACACUUCUGACACCACCUCUACUGGCCUUGCACAGCGCUUAGAGAAUCCUAUAAGCCUGCUGGGACAUGUGUGUCCGGAUCGCCGGAGGCAGAAGUCCAGUCUAGGAAACGGGAUUCUGAAUGCACCGGGGCCCCCCACCCCCACCACCGCGGGAGGCUGCAGGUGCACGCGCCCCACGGGGGCAGCCGUGAGAGCUCAUUGGUGAUGUCAGCCCUCGGCAGCCAUCCCAGAGCUAAAAAUUUCCUUCUCUCCCAACCCCUCUUCCGUGCUUUGGGGAAAUCAAAGUGCUUUUAUCACACCAUGAGGAUGCGUCAAGGUCAACGGGCAAAAGACCCCUGCCCCCGUCGGAGGAGGCUGCCGUUUGCCAAAUGAACUCAUUUCCACGUGGGAAAUCCUCGGCAGAGGGCCUGCUGGUGCCGUCCUUUUAUCAUUGAGCACCUGGUUCCGGGUUCCCACCACUUUCACGAUGCAGACCUUCUUGGGCCUCCGGGAAAGCUCCUUCUCCAGCUCUGCAGGGAAAGAAAGCCUGUGACCUCCGGCAGGACCCUGGACAGGCGACGGCACGCACGUUCCCAGACGUGGGCAUCAUGACAAGGGAAACAAUUUUUUUUUUUUCUUUAAGCCAGGAGACAGGGUUAUUUAAACAACUUUUUUUUUUUUUGGGAGGGGGGAUCAGUGUCACCAGCUGGGGCAUUGAAGGGAGAAGGAAAAGUCUUUUGAUGUCUGAGGGAUGCCAUGCCACCUGAGUUUCCAGAACUUUCUUCCUUCCCCUAUUUAGAUGCAAAAUUGAGGUCUGUGCACAAGCCAGAACAGCUAGCACUUCAGCUGUCUAUCCAUGGAUUCCCCCCAGCUCCCAAGGUCUUCCGAACCUUUAUUUUCCCCUCUGCAAACAUAGGCUAAUUUGAUUUACAAACAUCCUUUCCCCUUGGUUAAAAUACUACAAAAAUUUUAAAGAACAUGGAAAUAGUAUGGUUACUGUUAACCAGUUUGAUCAAAUGGUCUGAGUAUCUUCACUGUUAUAAAAGUUAUCAGCAGGGGGUGGGGGGCAGGAGGGGUAUACCUGGCUGGCUCAGUUGGUUAACCAUCUGCCUUCGGCUCAGGUCAUGA